rnacentral:rRNA from 1 species
CCUACGGGAGGCAGCAGUGAGGAAUAUUGGUCAAUGGGCGAGAGCCUGAACCAGCCAAGUCGCGUGAGGGAGUACUGCCCUAUGGGUUGUAAACCUCUUUUGUCGGGGAGCAAAAGCCGGACCUUUUCGGGUGUGAGAGUAACCGAAGAAAAAGCAUCGGCUAACUCGGCGCCCGCAGCCGCGGUAAUACGGUGGAUGCGAGCGUUAUCCGGAUGUUUUGGGUUUUAAGGGUGCGCAGGCGGAUUUUUAAGUCAGCGGGUAAAUCGUGGGGCUCAACCCCAUCCAGUCGUUGAAACUGGGGAUCUAGAGUGUGCGAGAGGUAUGCGGAAUGCGUGGUGUAGCGGUGAAAUGCAUAGAUAUCACGCAGAACCCCGAUUGCGAAGGCAGCAUACCGGUGCACAACUGACGCUCAGGCACGAAAGCGUGGGUAUCGAACAGGAUUAGAUACCCGAGUAGUC